GUGCUCACUUUGGCAGCACAUAUACUAAAAGUGGAACAAUACAGAGAUUAGUGUGGCCCCUGCACAAGGAUGAUAUGCAGAUUCAUGAAGUGUACCAUAUUUUU